GGAAUAUUGGUCAAUGGGCGAGAGCCUGAACCAGCCAAGUAGCGUGCAGGAUGACGGCCCUAUGGGUUGUAAACUGCUUUUAUAUAGGGAUAAAGUGCACUACGUGUAGUGUUUUGUAGGUACUAUAUGAAUAAGGACCGGCUAAUUCCGUGCCAGCAGCCGCGGUAAUACGGAAGGUCCGGGCGUUAUCCGGAUUUAUUGGGUUUAAAGGGAGCGCAGGCUGAUUAUUAAGCGUGACGUGAAAUGUAGCCGCUCAACGGCUGAACUGCGUCGCGAACUGGUAGUCUUGAGUGAGUUCGAUGUUGGCGGAAUUCGUGGUGUAGCGGUGAAAUGCUUAGAUAUCACGAAGAACCCCGAUUGCGAAGGCAGCGUACCAGUCCGUUACUGACGCUAAAGAUCGAAGGUGCGGGUAUCGAACA
rnacentral:rRNA from 1 species